CAAUGGCAUGGAUUUGUCCAUGCCAUUGGAAAUUUAUGUUCCAAUUACUUUUUUAACUUGGCGUGGAUGUGUCCAUGCCAUUGUAUAUUUUUGUUCAAAUGACUUUUUUAACUUGGCGUGGACGUGUCCAUGCCAUACAUAAAUAUACAAUGGCAUGGAUUCAACAUGCCAUUGGAAGUUUAUGUUCCAAUUACUUUUUUAACUUGGCGUGGACGUGUCCAUGCCAUUGUAUAUUUGUGUUCGAAUGACUUUUUUAACUUGGCGUGGACGUGUCCAUGCCAUACAUCAAUAUACAAUGGCAUGGGUUUGUCCAUGCCAUUGGAAAUUCAUGUUCCAAUUACUUUUUUAACUUGGCGUGGACGUGUCCAUGCCAUUGUAUAUUUGUGUUUGAAUGACUUUUUUAACUUGGUGUGGACGUGUCCAUGCCAUACAUAAAUAUACAAUGGCAUGGAUUCGCAUGCCAUUGGAAAUUUAUGUUCCAAUUACUUUUUUAACUUGGCGUGGACGUGUCCAUGCCAUUGUAUAUUUGUGUUCGAAUGACUUUUUUAGCUUGGCGUGGACGCGUCCAUGCCAUCAAUGGCAUGGACGAGUCCAUGCCAAGUUAAAUAAAUUUUAAAAAAUUAAUUGGAACAUAAAUAUACAAUGGCAUGGAUCCGUCCAUGCCUUUGGAAAUAUAUGUUCCAAUUAAUUUUUUAAUUUGGCGUGGACGCGUCCAUGCCAUCAAUGGCAUGGACGAGUCGACGCCAAGUUAAAAAAGUAAUCGGAACAUAAAUUUCCAAUGGCAUGGACGGAUCCACGCCAUUGUAUAUUUAGUUCCAAUUACUUUUUUAAUUUGGCGUGGACGUGUCCAUGCCAUUGUAUCUUUGUGUUCGAAUGACUUUUUUAACUUGGCAUGGACGCGUCCAUGCCAUGCAUGUAUAUUUGCAGUUUUCCAAUGACUUUUUAACUUCAUAUGGAUGUGUCCAUGUCAUUUGUUAUGUGUUUUACAUAUUUGUGUUCCAAUGACUUUUUAACUUGUCAAUAUUGUUGCUUUUGGAAUGGUUACAUGGACUUGUUUUGAAAUUAAGGACAUUUUGUUGCUAAUUCUUGUAUAAUAGUGUAA